GACGAACGCUGGCGGCGUGCUUAACACAUGCAAGUCGAACGGAAAGGCCCUGCUUUUGUGGGGUGCUCGAGUGGCGAACGGGUGAGUAACACGUGAGUAACCUGCCCUUGACUUUGGGAUAACUUCAGGAAACUGGGGCUAAUACCGGAUAGGAGCUCCUGCUGCAUGGUGGGGGUUGGAAAGUUUCGGCGGUUGGGGAUGGACUCGCGGCUUAUCAGCUUGUUGGUGGGGUAGUGGCUUACCAAGGCUUUGACGGGUAGCCGGCCUGAGAGGGUGACCGGCAAGAUGGGGGCGGAGGUGCGGAAGAGAGGCAGGAGGGAGGGGGAAGGGGGGAAGAGGGGACAAGGGGCGGAAGCCUGAGGCAGGAAGGCCGCGUGCGGGAGGAGGGCCGUCGGGUGGGAAAACGAGUGCGCCGGUGAAGAAGCGGGAGGGACGGUAAUGGGUAAAGAGGCAACGACUAACUACGUG
rnacentral:rRNA from 1 species